AUUUACCGCUGGCGGCAGGCCUAACACAUGCAAGUCGAACGAGUGGCGGACGGGUGAGUAAUGUCUGGGAAACUGCCUGAUGGAGGGGGAUAACUACUGGAAACGGUAGCUCAUACCGCAUACCAUCGGAUGUGCCCAGAUGGGAUUAGCUAGUAGGUGGGGUAAAGGCUCACCUAGGCGACGAUCCCUAGCUGGUCUGAGAGGAUGAACAAGCACAGGGAAACUGACACACGGCACAGACGCCUGAGGUAGUGAGAAGGGGGGAAGAGGGCAUCAUGUGCGCAAGCCUAGUGCAGCCAUGCGGCGUGUAUGAAGAAGGCAUUCGGGUUGUAAAUUACUUUCAGCGGGGAGGCGUUACCCGCAGAAGAAGCACCGGCUAACUCCGUGCCAGCAGCCGCGGUAAUAC
rnacentral:rRNA from 1 species